rnacentral:rRNA from 1 species
CAGUAGCCGCGGGAAAACGAAGGGGGCUAGCGUUGCUCGGAAUGACUGGGCGUAAAGGGCGCGUAGGCGGUUUGUACAGUUGGAUGUGAAAUUCCUGGGCUUAACCUGGGGGCUGCAUUCAAUACGUGCAGGCUUGAGUGUGGAAGAGGGUUGUGGAAUUCCCAGUGUAGAGGUGAAAUUCGUAGAUAUUGGGAAGAACACCGGUGGCGAAGGCGGCAACCUGGUCCAUUACUGACGCUGAGGCGCGAAAGCGUGGGAGCAAACAGGAUUAGAUACCCGAGUAGUCCCUGUCUCUUAUACA